GACGAACGCUGGCGGCGUGCUUAACACAUGCAAGUCGAACGGUAAGGCCCCUUCGGGGGUACACGAGUGGCGAACGGGUGAGUAACACGUGAGCAUCCUGCCCUUGACUCUGGAAUAACAGUUGGAAACAGCUGCUAAUACUGGAUAUUCAUCGUCUCCUUCCUGGGGGGUGGUGGAAAGCUCCGGCGGUCAGGGAUGGGCUCGCGGCCUAUCAGCUUGUUGGUGAGGUAAUGGCUCACCAAGGCUUCGACGGGUAGCCGGCCUGAGAGGGCGACCGGCCACACUGGGACUGAGAUACGGCCCAGACUCCUACGGGAGGCAGCAGUGGGGAAUAUUGCACAAUGGGCGCAAGCCUGAUGCAGCAACGCCGCGUGCGGGAUGACGGCCUUCGGGUUGUAAACCGCUUUCAGUAGGGACGAAGGGUGACUGACGGUACCUACAGAAGAAGGACCGGCUAACUACGUG
rnacentral:rRNA from 1 species